CUGGCCCUCGGGCGCCGCCGCUCCCACCUGAACACGCAGCUGGCGCGGGAUCCGCCCUCAGGAGCCCGGGACGCGGCACGGGCCACGUGACCCACAGUGCUCUUUUCUCAAGCAAUGGAUUAUGAUGAACCCAAGAACAAAACAGCAUGUGUUAUCCCUUCACAGAGCAACACUAUGAGGAUCUGCCCUUCCAUUGGAGGCACUGUGGAGCCAGUGCUUUUUUGGUGUGAUAAGCCUGAUUCUCUUUCUCCGUAAGAGCACAGACAAGACAGAAUGGCAGAUGCUAUCCCACUUCACAGAUGAUAACCCUGAAGCUAAGAAAGCACUCCAAUGCUUAUCGAUCAAGCAGGUAAGAAAACCAGCAAAGGAAACUGAAAAGGAGCAAAGGCAGAAAGAAAACCAAGUAUGGUACUAGAAGCCAAGUGAAAACAGGGUUUCAAGGAGGGUGUGCUCUGGAACUGAUGGGUGGGUCAGGGGAGGCCUAAGCACUGAUCCCCAGACUGACGAAUGGCCACGAUAGGAGCUCUUUCAGAGAAGCUGUGAAGGUAAGAAUCUGACUAGACAGAGUCCCAGAGUGACCUGGAGAAGAGAAAUCAGAGAGAAUCAGAACAAAGCUGUCCAGCAGGAGUUAUUCUGUAAAGGAAAGGAGAGAAAUGCGGGAAGUGGAUGCAGGAGAAGGGAAGCUAAGGAGAAGAACCCAGGGGGAGAAGGAG